AAGAUGAGCUUCAGAGUCUGGAGCCCUGAUACCACAAGCUUUCCUGCCUUUGCAAGCAGUGGAGUCUGACACACGUGCAAUGGAAUGGAAAAGCUUCCUCUGAGCUCUGUAUCACACCUGACCAUUUACUCUGUUAGGAGUCUGAAAACAAAGUCAAGUCUUAGAAAGUACCAAUUAUUUUAGUUGUGCCGCUGAAUAAUAGACUGGAAGGCAAGAUGCCUGAAGUGCAUCAAAGGCCCAGUGAAGGAACUGGGAUAUUCUCUGCAGCCCUGCAUGGGGAAAAGCAGCUCCAGGACCAUGGCCCAUGCAUGGAGCUUAUCUGGCCAUUGGCAUCUCCAGAUGCUUGCCUUUCUGACCAGCAGCAAAAGACUGAAGAGUGAAAGCACUUUAAUAUUGUAGAGCACCUACAUGGAGACAAGUGGAUCAGUUCUCCUGCAUGAGUGUCCUUUUCUUAGACUCCUGGGGGAAGGAAGAGUCCAUCCCACAGAUGCUCCUGGUGGGACAUUUGUUUCUCCCAGGGGCAUAGCCCAUCAAAUCAGCACUGCCAGCUUGCUGCAGAAGGUGGGGCCAGCAGUCUGGAGCAAACUUGUCCUGCAGCAGCCCUGAAAAAGGAGCAAGCCAUCUAAAAAGAAAAGACAUCAUUAAAUUUCCUUUCCACGUGGUGAAUGAAGAAGCUUUUACCUGGGGAAGAAAGGAAAAGUGUUCUUUUUGUUAACUUCAUCCAGAGAGAAAGAAAAUCUUUGAGGUAUUUUCUGGCACGUGGCUCCUGUUAAGUUUCAGCCAGCUGAGCUGUUCCCAAAAGCACUGGAAUGUAAUUUCAGCAAUAAUCAAUCAGCAGAAAUGGAGGCAGUGAGGGUGUGAGGGUGUUCUGUUUCACAGAAGUCCUGGGUAAAAACCCAUUCACUGUGUCUAAGAACAUAGAUUUAACAAACAUGAAUCUGGAGUGCUGAAUUCCUGGAACCUCUCUUUACCCUGAAUGAUGGAAAAUUGGAGCCAUUGCUGGAUGGGGGAUGGUGCUUUUCAACUCCAAUUUCAGUCAAUUGACUCAAAUUCAUUUGUAAACCUUUGGCACUCCUGCUGAAAAAAAUUUAAUUUCCCACCUUUUUUUUUUUUUUAAUUUAUUGCUCAGAAUGUGUAAGUACUAAAUUAGACAUAGAGCUUUUGGUGUAAGCCAGCAUAAUCCUUUUACCACUGAAUCAUUCUGUUAUAUAGUAUUUUGACCGCUCUGUGUGUGUGUGAAAUUGCUGUCUAAAAUGUAUUGCUUAAAAUUGGUAUUUGCCUGUUUUGGACAAAUCUGUUAGAAAAUUCUAAAAGGAAAUCAUGCAGAAUAAAGAAACCUACUCUUUAGUCUCUUGGGUGGGAAACUCUUGAGUUCUGCACAGUUUCAAAGUGCUUUUGAAAGAGCUGAAAUGGUUCAGUGUCACACUAAAAUGGUGAGAUUUUUUUGUAGGCUAGUUAAAUUAUUUUCACGGGACAAAGAAAUCCCUUACACAGUUCUGUAUUUGCAAAGGAAGGAGUAGUGUGCUUGCACUGUACUGGGAUCAUGGAAGCACGCUGCCUUGAGCAAGCUGAGCUUGGUCCACGCCAGCACAAAGUAAUGACUGAUGUUUUGAUGAGAAUUCAGUGACAUGGAACAAGGGUUGAUAUUCUGCCAUGGUCUAAAGAGUAGAUCCCAGCAGUGAAGACAAAAAAAAAACCCCAAAUGUCAAAAAAAACCAAGAAAAAAAGAUAAAAAUUCAGCAUUUUUGGAAGUGUUCUGCUUUUCCCGAACUCUCACUGAGAUUACAAGAAGGAACUUAAGGGCAGAGGUUGGUGUUUAUGGAGCUGGAGGUAUCUUCUCUCUGCAAAGUGAAGAGGAGCUCUAAAAUCUGCUGAGAAGAUUCCCUUUGCCUUUCAGUCUUCAGACCAAUCCAUAUAUGAAGGAAUUACUUUAUUCCUACCUCUGGUAGGAAGUCCACUGAGAAGCCUGUGAGAGAGCUUGAAGUCAUUCUGUUAGUACUUGUGUGUAUUCAGCUCUGGAAAGAGAAGUUCUAUGUUGUCUCCUAAGAACAAAAGCCCUUAAGAGAUGUGGCACUCCACAUGACGUGAUUUGCCUAUACUGUAAUUUUCUUCUUCUGAACGAGGCCAGGGAAGAGCUUCCUGUUACAUUUCAGGGAAGUUAGGUGAUGUACAGAGUGAAAAUGUCAAAUAAUGGUGUUCAAGUGUAUAGCAACCAAGUCAACAUUAAUAAAAGUUCACUGUCUUUCUAAAAUGAUCCUAUACAUUAGCGUCAAAUGCUCUAGGACUUAUAAUGAAAGAAGACAGCAUGUAUUCAAGGCAAUGAAAUGAAGCUAAUUAAAAUGUCAGAUAACACAAGUUUAGAUUGUUUGAAAUAGACCUUUUUGUAAUAUAGUGAGAUCUUCAUCAGAAGGCCACAAACUUAACUUUUUAAUAAAAAAAUAAUCUUAAUAAUUUUUUGCAUCAAGUCUGACCUCUGCUGCCUACAAAUUUGGAUUGAUGUAUCAAAGUACAUAUUGUCUUUAAUGUUCCUGUCAAACCUGAGCUGUGAUGCGUGGAUUUAUUCCCUACUUGGAGAGAUGCUUCUGUGAAACUUGGCUAAUAAAAACGUGACACAGCCGGUGACUGAUGCCUGUUCUCUCAGGGCGUGUGAGCGUGGGACAAACACUGCACACACAUCCUCUACUUGACACUGAAAAAUGAGACACAUCUAGUAAAAAACAUAAUAUAUGCUCUAACGGUCUUGCAGUGACCUUCUCGUUGUCUUUCUCCCUCCUCACAUACCUUUCUCACUUCUCAACUCUUUCCCUUCCUUCCCUUGCAGGCUCUCAGCCUGCAAUUUAUCUUGCAGCGAGGUCUCUGCUGCCUCUGAACGUGUCAUACGCUUGCGCACAGGCCCUGGCAGGGUCUGGCCUUCCUCUGUGGGAGAUCUCAGGCUGCUCUUUGCCAACUUGGACUGUGAGCGGACAAAGGAAAAAGCUUUUCCUCGUAAAAUAAAGAUAUACUUAAAAAAAAAAAAAAAAAAGAAACAAACCUCGGCAACGAAUCCAAAAUCCCAGCUCUAGCAACCUGGUAAUUUGUCAGUGCCAGGCGUCAGCCCACUAUUAGUCUUUUUCUGGAUAGAGAUGACAGAACUCUGUUGACAAGCUGUAGGACUUAUUUCAGGAGCUGGCACCUGGCUCCCUGGCACGUCCCCCUGACGGCUGUG